rfam:Anaerosporobacter mobilis DSM 15930 genome assembly, contig: EJ17DRAFT_scaffold00012.12
UAGCGUAGGGCCUAUAGUACUUCUUAGUGUGUGCUUAAAUAAUAGGAAGGCGAGGCAUGGACGCCGAGCCAGCCUGAGCAUGACAGGAUGUCAUGUCGAAGGCGCUUCCGUAAACUUGUUAUAGUUAUAUGCACACACUAUUAGUAGUACUUAGGCACGUAGCGU